rnacentral:rRNA from 1 species
UGCCAGCCGCCGCGGUAAUACGAAGGGGUUAGCGUUGUUCGGAAUUACUGGGCGUAAAGCGCACGUAGGCGGAUUGGAAAGUUGGGGGUGAAAUCCCGGGGCUCAACCCCGGAACUGCCUCCAAAACUAUCAGUCUAGAGUUCGAGAGAGGGAGGUAGAAUUCCAUGUGUAGCGGUGAAAUGCGUAGAUAUGUGGAGGAAUACCAGUGGCGAAGGCGGCCUCCUGGCUCGACACUGACACUGAGGCGCGAAAGCGUGGGGAGCAAACAGGAUUAGAUA